UACGUAGGGUGCGAGCGUUAAUCGGAAUUACUGGGCGUAAAGCGUGCGCAGGCGGUUGUGCAAGACAGAUGUGAAAUCCCCGGGCUUAACCUGGGAACUGCAUUUGUGACUGCACAGCUGGAGUGCGGCAGAGGGGGAUGGAAUUCCGCGUGUAGCAGUGAAAUGCGUAGAUAUGCGGAGGAACACCGAUGGCGAGGGCAAUCCCCUGGGCCUGCACUGACGCUCAUGCACGAAAGCGUGGGGAGCAAACAGG
rnacentral:rRNA from 1 species